GUCGACGUGAAAGUCCGCUUCGGUGGAUGAGUAAAGUGGCAAACGGGUGAGUAACACGUGGAUAAUCUGCCCUCGGGUGGGGGAUAACCUUGCGAAAGCGGGGCUAAUACCGCAUACGAAGAAGCUGAAUAAUCGGUCUUCUUUAAAGCCUUCGGGCGCCGGAGGAGGAGUCCGCGGCCCAUUAGCUGGUUGGUAGGGUAACGGCCUACCAAGGCGACGAUGGGUAGCCGGCCUGAGAGGGUGUCCGGCCACACUGGGACUGAGUCACGGCCCAGACUCCUACGGGAGGCAGCAGUGGGGAAUUUUGCGCAAUGGGCGAAAGCCUGACGCAGCGACGCCGCGUGGGUGAUGAAGUUUUUCGGAACGUAAAACCCUGUCAGGAGGGACGAAGAUCUGACGGUACCUCCAAAGGAAGCCCCGGCUAACUCCGUGCCAGCAGCCGCGGUAAUACGGGGGGGGCUAGCGUUGUUCGGAAUCACUGGGCGUAAAGGGCGCGUAGGCGGUUUGUCAGGUCAGGUGUGAAAUCCCUGGGCUCAACCCAGGAAUUGCGCUUGAAACCGACAGGCUAGAGUGCAGGAGAGGAGGGCGGAAUUCCCGGUGUAGCGGUGAAAUGCGUAGAUAUCGGGAAGAACAUCGGUGGCGAAGGCGGCUCUCUGGACUGUAACUGACGCUGAGGCGCGAAAGCGUGGGGAGCAAACGGGAUUAGAUACCCCGGUAGUCCACGC
rnacentral:rRNA from 1 species